rnacentral:rRNA from 1 species
UACGGGGGGGGGCAAGCGUUGUUCGGAAUUACUGGGCGUAAAGUGUGCGCAGGUGGCCGCGCAAGUCGAGUGUGAAAUCCCCGAGCUUAACUUGGGAAUUGCGCUCGAAACUACGUGGCUAGAGUGUGGCAGAGGGAGGUGGAAUUCCACGUGUAGCGGUGAAAUGCGUAGAGAUGUGGAGGAACACCAAUGGCGAAGGCAGCCUCCUGGGCCAACACUGACACUCAUGCACGAAAGCGUGGGGAGCAAACAGG